GAUGAACGCUGGCGGCGUGCCUAAUACAUGCAAGUCGAGCGAACAGACGAGGAGCUUGCUCCUCUGACGUUAGCGGCGGACGGGUGAGUAACACGUGGAUAACCUACCUAUAAGACUUGGAUAACUUCGGGAAACCGGAGCUAAUACCGGAUAAUAUAUUGAACCGCAUGGUUCAAUAGUGAAAGACGGUUUUGCUGUCACUUAUAGAUGGAUCCGCGCCGCAUUAGCUAGUUGGUAGGUAACGGCUUACCAAGGCAACGAUGCGUAGCCGACCUGAGAGGGUGAUCGGCCACACUGGAACUGAGACACGGUCCAGACUCCUACGGGAGGCAGCAGUAGGGAAUCUUCCGCAAUGGGCGAAAGCCUGACGGAGCAACGCCGCGUGAGUGAUGAAGGUCUUCGGAUCGUAAAACUCUGUUAUUAGGGAAGAACAAAUGUGUAAGUAACUAUGCACGUCUUGACGGUACCUAAUCAGAAAGCCACGGCUAACUACGUG
rnacentral:rRNA from 1 species